GGAGUAGAGCCGCUCCGUCUCGUGAGCUACUGACGGCGUUUCGGUGUCAAUUAUUUCGUUAAAUGAGUGAAAAACAACUAGCUCACAUACGAUCUUGCAACCAAGAAGGAAGCGCUGCAGAAAAGCGUCAACACUAGGCCGAAUGAGAAGAAUAAGAAAAACGCCACGUUGAUUUUUGAAGUCUCAGCUCUGCAAUACCAAUUCAGAAACCUCGAAAAAGAGAUGCACAAUGACAACGCAACAUCGUCUUCAACAAUUACUCACUUGUCUAGAGCUGAGGAAGCGACUGCGGGCCAAAACGGCGGAGCACUCUCGGGUUCAAGCUAAGCUCCAGGCCCUUCAGACUCUGCUUCAAGCCAAAGAAAGGGAACAUGCUGCUGCUCAGGCUGAAGAGAGAGCUGCAGAGGAAACUGCGUUUGAAGAGUGAAGAAUGCUCUCGUCUUGAGAGAAGGCAUCAGGAGGUAAAGGCUGAACUGGAACAGAAGAUUGCAGAGCUGAACAGAACCGGAGACUCCAAAGCAGCACUCAGUGAGUGACGUCACACUGCAGCGUGGCCUUUGUAACUUCAGUGCAAUGUUCACAUAUAGCAGACACGCCCUUUUACAUGAGAGCCGUCUCCUGCUCAGUUGGUUCCAGAAGCAUGAACUGUGUGGUGAUGUCUGCUCUGUUUACCCGAGUCAGUUCUCAACGUGAUAAAUCUGCACGAGGAUCCGAAGACUCUGAAUCACCGGAUCUCCACCACACAGAUCCAGACCUGAUCUCAGGUGAACAGUUCACUCUGCGAAUGUGUGUCUGUAUUGUUUUUUCCAUUUGGUUCAACCAAAUGUAACUAGUGAGUUCAAAAACAACAACAGGUAUUGAGAAGACCAAAUGACGUUGAGAUUGAAUGGAGGCGCCCGGAUAGUAACUCCGAGGGCAGUGGGCUAAACAUGUAGCACGUCACCACCCACCCACCAGGCCCCACCACGCGAGGCCCACAAACACGUCUUAGGGAUUUCCAACGAGAACCAUCCUCUUGUUAAAUUGAACCACCGCUUUAAUCCAACUCCAGGCAGAACAAACACAUGUCUACAGGAACCCUCCUUCUAGCCUCCCCGAGGACCACAUUGAUGCAGCUUCUGCUCAGACCCGGCCACAAAAGGACACUGUUUUCUGGAAAUGUGGCAAUUUUAGUAACA